AUGGGGCAGCUUCCCACCAGGCUUGUGCUUCUUCGAUGGGGGCUGAGUGAUCCUCCCUAGCCCUCUUUCAAUUUAUCUUCUCCUUUCACUUCUCCACCAUCCCCUUCUCAUCGGUGAUAUACUCAUCAGCUCGAGUGAGGAGCUCAGAGAAGUCACAAGGAAACUUCUUCGAAAGGAAGAAAUAGAAACUAUUUGCUUUUAGCCCCUUCUUGAG
rnacentral:lncRNA from 1 species